rnacentral:rRNA from 1 species
AGUGAACGCUGGCGGUAGGCCUAACACAUGCAAGUCGAACGGCAGCACAGGAGAGCUUGCUCUCUGGGUGGCGAGUGGCGGACGGGUGAGGAAUACAUCGGAAUCUACCUUUUCGUGGGGGAUAACGUAGGGAAACUUACGCUAAUACCGCAUACGACCUACGGGUGAAAGUGGGGGACCGCAAGGCCUCACGCGAUUAGAUGAGCCGAUGUCCGAUUAGCUAGUUGGCGGGGUAAUGGCCCACCAAGGCGACGAUCGGGAGCUGGUCUGAGGGGAUGAUCAGCCACACUGGAACUGAGACACGGUCCAGACUCCUACGGUAGGAAGCAGUGGGGAAUAUUGGACAAUGGGCGCAAGCCUGAUCCAGCCAUACCGCGUGUGUGAAGAAGGCCUUCGGGUUGUAAAGCCCUUUUGUUGGGAAAGAAAUCCUGUCGAUUAAUACUCGGUGGGGAUGACGGUACCCAAAGAAUAAGCACCGGCUAACUUCGUGCCAGCAGCCGCGGUAAAAC